UCACACUUUAAGCCCAAGGUUUAACAGUCAACUGAUGUUAGAGAAUGCCUUACUCCACCAACCACAGAUUCAACAACUGUGAAUUUCUUUUGUUAGCCUGGCACCUAUUAUUAGGUCUCUAUUCCUGCAGCUAUUGUUACAACAACCACCUAUUUGGUGUUAUCAGAUGUGUGGUAUCCUGUCUAAGUCUUUGUUUAUGAGUGAAGGCUGUUUACAUUCAAGCCAGUUUUAAUUCAGGAGCAUAGUGGAAGAGUACAGAGUGUAGAAAAAUUGGAUUGAGGAAGGUGACCGUAGAGAGUAGACAACAUACAGAAGCUGGCAUGACUGGAAGGGACACUUUGCUGUGAAUAUCUAUAGUUGGUGGCUCAUCAAAACUCUCACAAAGUGUACCAAAAAGUCAAGUACUUUUGUGAUAAAGAAGUUACUAGAGAGUUUUUCAGCCCACAAGAACUGUCAGCAACAGCUUCUUUUGUGAAGGAUUCUCUAGUUGAAAGAGCUGUGCAGAAUGGACAGAGCAGGACAGGAUGAGUAAAGAAAAGAAAUGUGGCAGAAAGAUGUAAAGAAGAGAAAUAUGGACAUGGCUUGGAUUUUGCUGAUUUUGUUCGAUUUUUUAAUUUGAUUAAUAAAGCACAAUAUAUGACUGUAAUUUCUUGUUUGUUGUUGAUAAACAGAUUUUACAAUAUUUCUGUUGGCACGUCUUUAGAUGUAACUCAGAACCUGUCUUUGUAGAAUUAAUAUUAACUGAUUGAAAAAACG